rnacentral:misc_RNA from 1 species
AGAAGUCACACACCAUAUUUGAGGUUCUCGGAUUGUUAUAAUUUUCAACAUUGCACGUAAUGAUCCACAUCUACUUACAAACAUCAAGAAAACUAUGGCAUUUACCAGUUAAAAAAUGUUGCUUAUUCUUCAAAUAAUACAAGGGGAAAAUGAUCAUACAAUAAGUAUAAUAUAGGGGAAAACUUUUUAUGGCUGAUUACAAUUAUUUAUACUACCAAUGCGAGUAAAGUAGAAUUGUUCAAUAUCUAAUCAUGUGUUGAGAAAAUUUU